UACUGCCUACGGGGGGCAGCAGUGAGGAAUAUUGGUCAAUGGCCGAGAGGCUGAACCAGCCAAGUCGCGUGAGGGAUGACGGCCCUACGGGUUGUAAACCCCUUUUGUCGGGGAGCAAAGAGAGUCACGUGUGGCUCAUUGAGAGUACCCGAAGAAAAAGCAUCGGCUAACUCCGUGCCAGCAGCCGCGGUAAUACGGAGGAUGCGAGCGUUAUCCGGAUUUAUUGGGUUUAAAGGGUGCGCAGGCGGAGGUGCAAGUCAGUGGUCAAAUUGCGGGGCUCAACCCCGUACUGCCGUUGAAACUGC
rnacentral:rRNA from 1 species